AUGGAUAUCAAAAUAGUAAUGUGUAGUGUACUCUACUGGUACAUGGGCUCCGCCAACGCUGCUGUCUUAACCAUCUCCAAUGUCCAAGAAGGGGAUGAGGCCGAUUAUUACUGUUUAUCUUAUGACAGCAGUUGCAAUGCCCAAUUUACAAUGACCCAGCCAUCCUCUGUGUCGGCUUCCAUCGGAGAGACUGUUAAAGUUUUCUGUAGAGGAAACAGCGGGAGCGUAAGCGACUACUGGAACUCCUGGUACCAACAGACACCCGGCACUGCUCCAAUACUGCUUAUAUAUAGCGAUGACAACAGAGCCUCAGGCAUCUCUGACCGAUUCUCGGGUUCCCUGGACAGCUCCGCCAAUGCUGCUGUCUUAACCAUCUCCAAUGUCCAAGAAGGGGAUGAGGCCGAUUAUUACUGUUUAUCUUAUGACAGCAGUAACAAGCACACAAUGAUACAACCACAUGGGGAAGUUGUGAUGCCCAAAUUACAAUGA